UACGUAGGGUGCGAGCGUUAAUCGGAAUUACUGGGCGUAAAGCGUGCGCAGGCGGCUUUGCAAGACAGAUGUGAAAUCCCCGGGCUCAACCUGGGAACUGCAUUUGUGACUGCAAGGCUAGAGUACGGCAGAGGGGGAUGGAAUUCCGCGUGUAGCAGUGAAAUGCGUAGAUAUGCGGAGGAACACCAAUGGCGAAGGCAAUCCCCUGGGCCUGUACUGACGCCCAUGCACGAAAGCGUGGGGAGCAAACAGG
rnacentral:rRNA from 1 species